GGGUGAAACAACCCCUAAUGUGGGAUGAAUUGACCUAGUUUGGAAUUGGAAUGAAACAACCUGGGUGAAACUACUUGGGGUGAAACGACCUGGAACCACAAAAAUGUAUGA